GGGUGGGGGUGUAAAGAGAAGAUGACUGCGACGGCGACGACGGCGAGGGAGGGGGGUGAGGGGAAAGGGAGGAGCUGGGGCGCGAUCCCAAAGGGGGGCGCGGCGGCGACGGCGCUGGGGGCCUACGGCGGGCGCCGGUACGGCGGCGGCGGGGGCGGGGGCGUCCCGCGGAGGUGUCCCCUAGGCGACAUGCUGCUCGAGACCGUGCGGACGCGGCCGGGCGAGCAGUGGCACGGCGCGCAGCCCCUGUACCAGAUGAUGAAGGGCGUCCCGGUGUAGCUCGUCCACCUCCGGAGGUACUUGGUCCAGCGGCGGUUGGUCUACGCGGAGAUGCUAGACGGGAGGUUCGACGAGACGGCGCAGGAGUUGCAGCUCGAGUUCCGCCUCCGCCUGUGCCUGCUCCAGAUGCGCGUCCAGUACGAGUACGGCCUCGGCCUUGUUUCACUCUGCUGUUGCCUCUUCAGCUCGGGACGUUGUCCUCCGCGGUGCGGACGGUCCGGCCGCCACUCCAGGAAGACGUUCUGCGAGUGGCGCAGGCUGUGGUCGUGUGUACCGCCGAAGAGCCACGACGCGGCGGUGCGACUACUCACGGAGGGAGGGGACCUAUACUGCGUCAGAGGAGGGUGUGUUCUCGAACACCGUUUCCUAGAAGUACCGUACCUCACCGCGAAGGCGGUGUAAAAGGCACCCGUUGGAUCCUCCGUAGAGGAAGUCUCGCCGACCUCGCAGAAACAGUCAAGGUUUUCCGAACAACGACCCCUGCGGAAGUAAAAGGAGUCUCCUCUCUCGCCACUCGAAGCACAACCACACUCCGCCCGAUACUCUGUCGAAAGGUUGUAUCGAAGAAGUCAGUAUAGAUCAGUAUCAUACGUGGAACCUCAGGAACGUUGACGUACCGUACGAUAGUUAUGUUUUUGGUACAAGUGACAGAUGAUGUUUGGGGCCUGUUCGGCAAGACUCAAGUAAUAUGGUAUACUAUUUAUAUACCUCAGACAAUUUUUGUAAAUAAGAUAACCCUGCUCCAAGUUCUACUCCAAACUUCCCCUUCUCCGUGGUCUCGUCUCCAAAUGACCCUGAUAUCACCCGUCACUAUUAGAACUAGUUAACACCGGCCUUAGUUCGACCUCUAGGGAAUUCCACGCAACCCUACUCAGCAGUUGAUAAGGUGCCGGCCUAUCUCAGAGAGGAACCCUUUAUCUCGGACGAAGUAGUGGAGGACAAUUGGGCGAAGGGUAAAGAGCCGGGUUUUCUAGAUCUGGUUUACAAGGAGGUCGAAGAGGACUUAGCAGACAAGCAUGUUUUCUUCCACGUUGAUUCCGACUAUACCUAACACGAGUUCGUGUUGCUUUAGUUUUAUUGUGACGGAACGGUCCAGUUCUUGUCUCCUCGUUAUUCGAUUGACUGUAAUUACUGAAACUACGAUCACAAGUCUUCGGAUACUACACCAGUGGUGGUGGUGGUGGGUUGUAGCCUUUUUUGUUGGGUGAUUGCAAAGUCGUCUCCGGGAGACACGUAUUAAGCAAAGUCAACCCUUCCGCACUUUGACUGAAAUUCCUACGGUCAAGACCACGAGUUGGAAAACCACUAAGGGAUCCGAAGAAGUACGUCUGUUGGAAACUACUCCGAGGUUUAGCAGAAUCAAGUAAGUUCUUGGUCAAAGUCCUGGUGUCAAUACGAGCAGUUAUGCGUCUAGGCAUGAAUAAAUACGUAGUCGUUGGAAGGAACUGACAACUUAGUUCAUCUUUCUACGUGUGUCUCUUGUUACUCUACGUAAAGACCUUACCCGGCUCGUGACGCAUGUCAUUAAGUUCUCUAGUUCGUGUUCUGAAGUCUAAAUGUCUUGUGGGUAGUUUAACCAAUUCAGGCGUCAAGAGGGCCCGUCUUGUCGGUGCUCACUAGUCCGGAGUGCGUAGUUAUCGAGGAUAACUCGACCUCUUUUGUUGUCUUCCGUCACUAAAGUUCUAGAAACCCAAAUUUCAACUAUGACGGUCACGACCAAAAUUGGUAAACUUGAGGGGUUACCGACCUUGCGUACUCGGACACGAUGUUUGAGUUGGUAGACAUAGUAAUCUAGUAAACGUUUGACUAACAAGAGGACUCCACAGGAAUUCGUAACGACCCUGCUGACUCUUACUCUUUUUGUACGUCGUUACAGGCGUCUCAAGUUUUCUGCAGGUUUCGUUCAGGGUACCACGAAGGUGUUCCUCAACGUGUUUCCAAGUAUUCGUUCCACAACGUGAACCAUCUAGUCACCUAGAGAGUUUCAAGCAACUGAUACUACUUGAGUGUCGACUCGAUCUGUUCUACAAACUUAAACUACCACUUGACAACAGGAGUUUGUUUUUAACCGUCUAGCAAAUAUGACUGUUGCUCCCACUGUACUACGAGCACCCUCUGCUAGGUACCCUCCUCAAGACGUCGUAUCACGCGUUCUAUACGUAAAUGUGGUUCCUCCUCCAGGUCUUCUACUUGAGCUUUGGUAGACCGGGUUUUUUCCUCCUUCCAAGUCACCUACCACUGCCGCGUUGGCUCUUCCGGGUAGAAGGGCGUAGUUCGCUAAAUUUAAGAUCGGUUGAUCCAUACACGAAAAAUUUUGGUGUACGUUAACCAGUUCAAGUGUGACAAAAGCCACGUAAGUUAGGGGGGUAAAUGGAUUUGGCUGAUCGGCGUUCGUACCAAACGUACUAUAACAACAAACGAUAGUGUUCGUAGUGGGCGGCCUUCGCCGACUGGCAAGUCUACAACCGGAACCGCCAGAGACGUCCAACACAGUUCCGGCUGACUCCGCUCCAUAGCGCCCCCCGAUCCAGGGUCGUUUCUUCAUUGUUGGGGACUUUCAUACCAGAUAGCGAUAACGAUAACAACUAGUGGUGGUUGAGGGGGUGAGGGGAAGACUACGUUGUUGGGAAACCGACAUGACAUCAAUGAUCAUCCUUUACAUCUCUGAAACCACGCGUUAGCGCGAACAGCCGACCAAACAAGAAGCCGUCUCUCUCUCUAGGUCCCGGUUCCGACAGGGAAACGAACCUACGAGUAACCACUAGGCUAGGUAGGGACUACAUUUAUAAAUACAUACAUCCAUCGCAAUCAUACAUUAGACAGACAUAAUUGGUAGGUACUUGGUCGUUACAGAUAGAUAAGGCCCUCACUGUCACCAUCAUCAUGUACAUACGGACUGGCUAGGACAAAUUACAUACACCACGGAACAGCGAACGACACCUCAACCGU
rnacentral:rRNA from 1 species